rnacentral:rRNA from 1 species
UACGUAGGUGGCGAACGUUGUCCGGAUUUACUGGGCGUAAAGAGCCCGCAGGCGGCCAUGCAAGUUCUGGGUGAAAUCUCCCGGCUCAACCGGGAGGGGUCCUGGAAAACUGCAUGGCUCGAGGCUGGGAGAGGGAUGCGGAAUUCCGAGUGUAGCGGUGAAAUGCGUAGAUAUUCGGAGGAACACCAGAGGCGAAGGCGGCAUCCUGGCCCAGUCCUGACGCUCAGGGGCGAAAGCGUGGGGAGCAAACCGG